GAUGAAGAACGCAGCGAAAUGCGAUAAGUAAUGUGAAUUGCAGAAUUCAGUGAAUCAUCGAAUCUUUGAACGCACCUUGCACCCUUUGGCAUUCUGAAGGGUAUGCUCGUUUGAGUGUCAUUGUACUCUCACACUCCCGAUCUUUGCAUUGGGAGCAGUGGACUUGGGUUUGCUGCUUCACCGUCGCUUACCUCAAAUAGGUUAGUGCAACUCUUGGUUGGACAUAGUACGGCGUGAUAAGUGUUCUUCGCCGGUGCCUCGCAAAGAGGGUGGCCGAUCGGGAUGUUGUGCUCCAAACCGUCUUCGGACAAUCUCUGACGACUUGACCUCAAAUCGAGUAAGACUACCCGCUGAACUUAAGCAUAUCAUAAGCGGAGGA
rnacentral:misc_RNA from 1 species